CCACCAUGGCCACAGAGCAGCAGAGCAGGGUUGGAUUUCAUUAGCUGUGACCCACGUGACCAGAGCUGCCCUCUGUCCCUCAGACACAAGUAUUUUAAAAGGAAAGUUUUAUUAUUAAUCAGGAGAGAAGAGACGUCUUUCUUCUCAGCCUAGUAAGUGUGGGAGAUCAACCGCAGGGUGAUCGGAUCUCCAAGAUGAAUGAGUCAACAGGACUUUCAAAGCACUAUCUGAAGAGAUGGAGGUAAAUAGAAAACCGGUAUCUGUGUAUUACACAUAGAAAGUCACCAUAAAAAUAAACACAAUGAAUACUCUUCAGCAAAGGGAAUGAAAAAUCUGCAACUACAUACCACUGAACACAAAUGGAAAUCACCAACAACAGGUUGAGGGAGCGAAGCUGAGCCCAGGUGAGUCCAUUUAAAUGACUGAUGGAAAACUAAACGCAGGCAAAAUUAUCUUCUGUUGGGAGUUAGGAGAGUGGCUGCCCUUCUGGAACGAGGGAUAGAGAGUGGAAAGGGAUGGGGGAGGGGCUUCCCGGAGCCCAGAAAAAUUCUGUUUUGUGAAUUCAAAAUUAGCAAAUUCUGUUCCUCCAUCUGGGUGCUGGUUUCACAGGUUGUUCAGUUUGUGAUGAUUCACUCCGUUUUACAUCCAGUUAACAUCACGGAUGGUGCUAAACUUCAAUAUAAAAAAAAUUAAAAGUUAAGUAGAAGGCAGUUAACACACUACGGUGCGUAUUAAAUUCUGGCCAGAAACCAGGGUCAGUUUAGGGCCUGAGGUCUGCUCUCCUCUUUUAAGAAAAGGCUGAACAGGUGCGCAGCAGGGGUCAAAGCCUGUGCUGGCCACGUUUUCUGCUCCUCCUCCUCCUCAGGUUUGGAGGGGCAUUGGAAGGGAAAUGACUUUCUCACUGUGCAAUGCCAGGCUUUGUUCAAGCAUUUGGGGAAACAAUGAGGAGGCAGCUUAUUCCCAGCUCCAGCAACAAGAGACCUUUCCCCUCGCUGGAGCAUGCAGCAUCAAAAGAAAAGAAGAGAGAUUUAGGAGGAGAACAAAGCAAGAUAACACUGACAAGGCUGAGAAGAAGGGCUGGCGUGGCAAUGCUCCUCCACCUGAGCCAGCAGCCCCUGGGACUCAUCCCUCUGCGUCCCUCUGAGGUUGUUGGGUGUUUUUCAAUAUUAAGAUAUGAUUCACACGCCACAUGUUCCAUACUUUUAAAGUAUAUGAUUAAAAAAAACCAAAGUGUACAAUUCAGUGGUUUUUAGUAUAUUUAUAAAGCUGUGCAAUCAUCACCACUAUUUAACCACAAAACAGUUUCAUUACCUCAGAAAGAAACCUCAUACCCAUUAGCCACCAACCCUCCCGCUCCCACUCAACUCCUCCAUACUCUGCUGCCUCCCAGUAAAUUAGAUAACCACAGAUCUACUUUCUAUCCCCCUGGGCUUACCUAUUCUGGGC
ensembl:lincRNA